UACGUAGGGGGCAAGCGUUGUCCGGAUUUAUUGGGCGUAAAGAGCGUGUAGGCGGCCUUUCAGGUCAGCUGUGAAAACUCGAGGCUCAACCUCGAGACGUCGGUUGAAACCGUUUGGCUAGAGUCCGGAAGAGGAGAGUGGAAUUCCUGGUGUAGCGGUGAAAUGCGCAGAUAUCAGGAAGAACACCCGUGGCUAAGGCGGCUCUCUAGUACGGUACUGACGCUGAGACGCGAAAGCGUGGGGAGCGAACAGG
rnacentral:rRNA from 1 species